rnacentral:rRNA from 1 species
UACGAACUGCGCGAACGUUAUUCGGAAUCACUGGGCUUACAGGGUGCGUAGGCGGCUUUUCAGGUCCGAUGUGAAAUCCCACAGCUCAACUGUGGAAUGGCAUUGGAAACCGAAAGGCUUGAGUGAGCUAGAGAUGUACGGAACUUCCGGUGGAGCGGUGAAAUGUGUUGAGAUCGGAAGGAACACCAGAGGCGAAAGCGGUACAUUGGGGCUUGUCUGACGCUGAGGCACGAAAGCCAGGGGAGCGAAC